rnacentral:lncRNA from 1 species
UCCUGUCCCAUCCCGGCAUGUCCCAUCCCGUCCCACCCCAGGCAGCACGGAAGGGGGAAGAGCGUCUGCCUGCCCCAGAUGGGGUCCCCUGGAGAGUCCUGGCUCCAGCCUGGCUUCUUUCCACGCGUUCCAGCCCGGGACCCUCAGCCUUACGCCAGGUYGGAAGGUAGCCAGGGAAUUCGCCGGGCUGGCGACGGCCAGCCCUUGGGAAGGUGCCGCAGGGCUGCGUCCUGCUCUGGAGUUCUCUUUCACAGGAGCGAUUUUGUUCGGGGUUUGGCAUCCGAGCGGCACGAAGCGGCCCCAGAAGGGGAGGAAGGCGGCUGGGCGCAGGCACGGGGCAGUGGCUUGUGCAAAACCGGUGGAGCAUAUUCCCACCGGCUAAACAAACGGAACAAAACAUCCCCGGCUAAACAAACUAACCCCCCCCCCCCCGCCCCCAGGGACCCACCUGGACCUCAGGAGAAGCAGCAGGAGGGAGUCAGACGAGAUGAGACGAGACGAGACGCCGGAGCGGCGGAGGAAGGCGGCAAACCCGGCAGAGACAGCGGAGUUGUCCUGGGAGGUUUCAGCCCGCGGGAGUUGUGACCGACGCACCACGACCCGAUGCUGCGAGCUGCCGCGCCGCGCGUCGGCCCCUCGUCCCCGCUGCCCGGUGCCGGGYGGGCGUCCCUCAAAACCUCCGAGGAAGAGGAACUCGGCCAGAGCGGCCCUCAGACAGAGUUAUCUUCCCAAMGGAUUUAUGGCGCGCUGAUUCGGGAACGCCGCAAAGCUAUGCUCGCCGUGUACGGCUCGGAGAGAAAAAAACCUCUCCAAGAAAACCUCUCGUCAACAGAUAACGCAAUAUGGUUCCGAUUUCCUAACCCCCUUCUAAAUAAUUGUUCCUUUUCUUUUUUUUAAAUUUUGUCCAAGGGAAACGUUUCUAAUCUAAUUGCCUGCCUGCACCUUCCUCGCUGCCUUUGAGUGCGUAUUAUCUUCCAGCCGUUACUCGGGAGCGGAGCGAGAAUUUUCGAUUUAAAAAAAAA